rnacentral:lncRNA from 1 species
UUGGUGUACAUGUGGGUGGUGGUGGUAACAUUGGUAUAUGUGUUGGUGAUGAGAAAUAUCAGCUUUAAAUAUCUUGUGUAUUGUGUCUUUCUGCUAUCGGUGCCAGGCCAAUGAUAAUUCGAGAAGACAGUGUUACCCAAACAACAAAAUUCCUGUCUUUAGACAAGUGCUUACCAAAGAGAAAGUUUUGUUCAGGAAAGGAAAAAAGAAACUAGCUGCCACCUAAAUAAUCAAUGGAUCCAAGGAAGGGGGACUAGGGGACCAUCUUCAGAUGGUGCAUGCGGUCGCGGUACAGGAUCACUAUGGCAACCU